CGACACAGAAGUGGGCAUGUGGAGCAAAUAUGUGCCAUAUGUGGGGAGUCUUUGGAAUUUUGCUUGGGGUAAUGAAGGAUGUGAAGCUUGGGACCUGCUGAAGCUGUGAGUCUGGGCCUGCAGAAAGCCGCACCAGAGAGCAAAGAUUGGAUGUCGGAGAGCUGUGGCAGGCUAGUUAAUCUUCAGUGCAAUAUGCAAAUCGAGUUUCUGAAUUUGGCAUGCAAAUGAACUUGAGAGGAUCCAGGAAAAGCCAUUUUGUAUCUGUGAAGACUGAGGAUUAAAGCAACACAGAGAGAUGUUUAUAGCCAAGAGAAAUAAGAAGAUAUUGAUUGAGCUGGAACGACUGGAGUAGGCUCAUUUAGAAAUAUCUCCUUCCUUUGGAUUUCCAGCUUU